rnacentral:rRNA from 1 species
AUUGAACGCUGGCGGCAGGCCUAACACAUGCAAGUCGGGCGAGUGGCGGACGGGUGAGUAAUGCUUGGGCAUCUAGCUUAUGGAGGGGGAUAACUACGGGAAACUGUAGCUAAUACCGCGUACCCUCGGAUGAGCCCAAGUGGGAUUGGGUAGUGGGUGAGGUAAAGGCUCACCAAGCCGACGAUCUAUAGCUGGUCUGAGAGGAUGACCAGCAACACUGGGACUGAGACACGGCCCAGACUCCUACGGGAGGCAGCAGUGGGGAAUAUUGCGCAAUGGGUGCAAGCCUGAUUCAGCCAUGCCGCGUGUAUGAAGAAGGCCUUAGGGUUGUAAAGUACUUUCAGCGGGGAGGCGUUACCCGCAGAAGAAGCACCGGCUAACUCCGUGCCAGCAGCCGCGGUAAUUC